rnacentral:lncRNA from 1 species
AUUGUUAGGAUGAGUCUAUUUUGGAUUUUUGAGCUUUUCUGAUCUCCUAUACCAAUGAAAAAGAUUAUGUAAAGAUUCCAUACAAUUAUUUUUUGAAUAUGUUCAUUUAAUCAUAAAACUUAAUAAAAACCUUAUAAAUCAAUCAUAUAAGAAAAGAUACAUGUAAGAAAAAAUAAAUUAAAGAAGAUAUAUAGAGCACUUAUAUUGAUAAAACAAAAAAACAAAACUAGCUAGUAUGUGUUGCUCUCCUUCAAUGAGACUUGAUCCUUCAAAUAAAUCAUAAUUAGCAAUAACUUGUAUAAUAGAACAUUAGUCUUAACUCUUAGAUCAUGUAGGACAAAAUCCGCAUUACUAUUGUAAAUAUUCAUAUUGAAAAUCAUAAUUAAUGAACCCUAAUUGGGUUAAAUAUGAGAAACAGAUUGAUCCUAAACUAGGAUGAAAUGUUCUACUAUUUGACUUCUCUUUAUUCCCUUACCUUUUUUUAUGCCAUUUCCCUCCAAGUAUAUGCAUGAUAUA